rnacentral:rRNA from 1 species
AGUGAACGCUGGCGGUAGGCCUAACACAUGCAAGUCGAACGGCAGCACAGUAAGAGCUUGCUCUUACGGGUGGCGAGUGGCGGACGGGUGAGGAAUACAUCGGACUCUACUUUUUCGUGGGGGAUAACGUAGGGAAACUUACGCUAAUACCGCAUACGACCUACGGGUGAAAGCAGGGGAUCUUCGGACCUUGCGCGAUUGAAUGAGCCGAUGUCGGAUUAGCUAGUUGGCGGGGUAAAGGCCCACCAAGGCGACGAUCCGUAGCUGGUCUGAGAGGAUGAUCAGCCACACUGGAACUGAGACACGGUCCAGACUCCUACGGGAGGCAGCAGUGGGGAAUAUUGGACAAUGGGCGCAAGCCUGAUCCAGCCAGACCGCGUGGGUGAAGAAGGCCUUCGGGUUGUAAAGCCCUUUUGUUGGGAAAGAAAAGCAGCAGGUUAAUACCCCGCUGUUCUGACGGUACCCAAAGAAUAAGCACCGGCUAACUUCGUG